ACUCAAAGGAAUAGACGGGGGCCCGCACAAGCGGUGGAGUAUGUGGUUUAAUUCGAAGCAACGCGAAGAACCUUACCAGCUCUUGACAUGGGGAUUAUGAGGAUCAGAAAUGAUCUUCUUCGGUUCGGCCGGGUCCCACACAGGUGCUGCAUGGCUGUCGUCAGCUCGUGUCGUGAGAUGUUGGGUUAAGUCCCGCAACGAGCGCAACCCUCAUUGCUAGUUGCCAACAGGUUUGGCUGGGCACUCUAGCGAAACUGCCGGUGAUAAGCCGGAGGAAGGUGAGGAUGACGUCAAGUCCUCAUGGCCCUUAUGGGCUGGGCUACACACGUACUACAAUGGUGGUGACAACAGGCAGCGACGGGGCAACCCUGAGCUAAUCCCAAAAAACCAUCUCAGUUCGGAUUGUCCUCUGCAACUCGAGGGCAUGAAGUUGGAAUCGCUAGUAAUCGUGGAUCAGCAUGCCACGGUGAAUACGUUCCCGGGCCUUGUACACACCGCCCGU
rnacentral:rRNA from 1 species